GCCAGGUGCAGUGGCACACUCCUGUAAUCCCAGCAACUUGGAGGCUGAGGCAGGAGGAUUGUGAGUUCAAAGCCAAACUCAGCAAUGGUGAGGUGCUAAGCAACUCAGUGAGACCCUGUCUCUA
rnacentral:sRNA from 1 species